rnacentral:rRNA from 1 species
UACGUAGGGUGCGAGCGUUAAUCGGAAUUACUGGGCGUAAAGCGUGCGCAGGCGGUUUUGUAAGCCAGAUGUGAAAUCCCCGGGCUUAACCUGGGAAUGGCAUUUGGGGACUGCAAAGCUUGAGUGCGGCAGAGGAGACGUGGAAUUCCUGGUGUAGCAGUGAAAUGCGUAGAUAUCAGGAGGAACACCGAUGGCGAAGGCAGGUCUCUGGGCUGGACAUCUGACG